ensembl:snRNA U4 U4 spliceosomal RNA
UGCUUUGAGCAGUAGCAGUAUCGUAGCCAAUGAGGUUUAUCUGAGGCACGAUUAUUGCUAAUUGAAAAAGAAAAUGUACUUCUUUCAGAAGAAAUUAUGAUCUUUCUCUGACCUUUAUUAUUCAUUUAACGUUUAUUGAGCAAGUAUUUCAGAUUGCUCAGAA